rnacentral:lncRNA from 1 species
ACGAGGAGAAAGUUAGGCUCAAUCGUGUGCUAGCACGAUUUUCUUGAACCUAAUUGGAUCUUAUCCAAAUCAAUUGGGUUAGCCCAAUUGAUGACAUCCAGACCCUAACCCUUGUUUGUGUGAUCUAGUUAGGUUCAAUUCUGUAUAGUAAUGAGACAUGUCGUGAUCUCAUCAUCGACAUCAUCGAAACUCCUUUCGAUGGAUCAGAACUCUUCUGAUUCAGA